GUUUUGGAUGGACUCGCGGCCUAUCAGCUUGUUGGUGAGGUAAUGGCUCACCAAGGCGACGACGGGUAGCCGGCCUGAGAGGGUGACCGGCCACACUGGGACUGAGACACGGCCCAGACUCCUACGGGAGGCAGCAGUGGGGAAUAUUGCACAAUGGGCGCAAGCCUGAUGCAGCGACGCCGCGUGAGGGAUGACGGCCUUCGGGUUGUAAACCUCUUUCAGUAGGGAAGAAGCGAAAGUGACGGUACCUGCAGAAGAAGCACCGGCUAACUACGUGCCAGCAGCCGCGGUAAUACGUAGGGUGCGAGCGUUAUCCGGAAUUAUUGGGCGUAAAGAGCUCGUAGGCGGUUUGUCGCGUCUGUCGUGAAAGUCCGGGGCUUAACCCCGGAUCUGCGGUGGGUACGGGCAGACUAGAGUGCAGUAGGGGAGACUGGAAUUCCUGGUGUAGCGGUGGAAUGCGCAGAUAUCAGGAGGAACACCGAUGGCGAAGGCAGGUCUCUGGGCUGUAACUGACGCUGAGGAGCGAAAGCAUGGGGAGCGAACAGGAUUAGAUACCCUGGUAGUCCAUGCCGUAAACGUUGGGCACUAGGUGUGGGGACCAUUCCACGGUUUCCGCGCCGCAGCUAACGCAUAA
rnacentral:rRNA from 1 species